UCUAGGUUGUUCUAUAUUUCUUCGUAAGCAUGAACGGUAAGCGGCACCAACAUUCUCAUUACUAUUUGUUCUUUCAUAUAAGUUGUUUGAGCCUGGAUUCAGGGCCGGCCCAUGUGUCUGGCCAAGCUGGGCGACCGUUCCGGGCCUCUAAAUGCCAUAGGGCCCCCAUUUUUUAUUUAUUAUAUUAAUUAUAUAGAAUUAACCCAUUACUCAAGCCCAAUACUCUAGUCUCUUAUCAAAGGUCCACCCAAAAAGAAAGCGGGUGGAAGGAAAGAUGUAGCGACUGGGAGACUGGGAGUUGGCGUGCGAGAGAUGUCCGACUUCCAAGGCAGGCACAAUUAAUCUUCAACGAAACAAUCAAUUUCUAUGGAGAAUCCAAACGUUUUCUCCGGAUUCUAAGGCUGUUGUAGUCUUGUAUCCAGGAAUAUGAAUAUGACCUUCUGAUAAUCUGAUUGUGUGAUUGUGAAUCCGUGUAAAUUUAAAUUUUUGUUGCAACUGUGGGGCAGUGGGGCUUUUUCAAUUUGCUAUUGCUUAGAGGUUAUGCACAGGCUCACAGCAUUAGCAAUUCAACAUCAUUGAAAAAACUCUUCUUUUAUUAUUCGUUAAUUGUUAUCUGUUUGCUUGUUUGUUGCCUUUUAUCACUCUAUUGAAUAUGCAUCCUAGAAAGCAUAUGUCUGGAAGUGAAAAACGAAAGAAAAAACAAAAAAUUGAACAAGUUAA